AACGAACGCUGGCGGCAGGCCUAACACAUGCAAGUCGAGCGAAGCCUUCGGGCUUAGCGGCGGACGGGUGAGUAACGCGUGGGAACGUGCCCUUUGCUACGGAAUAGCCCCGGGAAACUGGGAGUAAUAACGGAUGUGCCCUUCGGGGGAGAGAUUUGUCGGCAAAGGAUCGGCCCGCGUUGGAUUAGGUAGUUGGUGGGGUAAUGGCCUACCAAGGCGACGCUCCAUAGCUGGUUUGGGAGGAUGAUCGGGCACACUGGGACUGAGGCACGGCCCAGACUCCUACGGGAGGCAGAAGUGGGGAAUCUUAGACAAUGGGGGAAACCCUGAUCUAGCCAUGCCGCGUGAUCGAUGAAGGCCUUAGGGUUGUAAAGAUCUUUCAGUGGGGAAGAUAAUGACUGUACCCACAGAAGAAGCCCCGGCUAACUCCGUGCCAGCAGCCGCCGUAACAC
rnacentral:rRNA from 1 species